GGGACAGCCCCGUGGUUGUGGGUGUCCCCCGGCGCCGGAAACUGGGCGCACACACCCUCGGAUUGACGUGCGCACGCGCACCGGUUACCUUCAGGAGCGCCGAAGAAGGAAAGAAGAACACAGAGCCCGAGGCAAAGCUUAAGUGCUUACGCUUUUUUCGGGAGGUACAGACCCAGCUCUGCGAGAGCCAGGGGAAAAGGAAGAGAGGCAGGGAAAGAAUGGCAGCAAGUACAAGGUGAUGAAUGACUGCACUGGCCAUUGCUUCAUGAAGAGCCAUGAAAAAACAGAGCCAGUUUCUCAGCAGGUGGCUGGCUGCUCAGUCACAAAGGACCUCUUUGGACAGGCUUUAUGGAAAUACUGUGCCUAGGACAGUCGCUCAAAGGCAGGAGGGAGAGAAAAUGCAUCUGCAAGCUCACUUUGUCUUCUUUCUUCUGCUGGUCCAAAUUUGCUGGCUGGGGCAGUUAACGCCCUCACAAAUCCAAGUUGUGUCACCUGGCCCCUUUGGUAGCCACUGGGGAAGCCAGAUCUAGGCAUGUGGCCUGAUGGCUCCUGCGGUGGAACCACAUGCUCACACUCAGUCAGUCACCACUGGGAUGGCCUGGGCAGGGCAGGCUGAGUGGCUGGGAGAUAGCUGAGCCUAAGAUAUCUAAGCAAGCACCUGUGAUGUAUGCACUGCAGUGUCCAAAUGUGAAAAAGCAAGAAAGGGAGAUAGAAGCAUAUUUUUUUCUGGAGAGAAGGAGGAAACCACCAGGAUAAUACAAACAGAAAAAAGAAUAUCAGCUUCCUGAGAGUGUAAAGCUCGUGUCUGUUCUGUUGUCUGCUGUUUCCCUGGUGCCUGACACAGUGACUGCCACAUGAGAAGAGCCCCUAAAAUAGUGAAAUAAAUGAAGAAUCACAUGAGUGAAAUCCUCUUGGUACCUGAGUAUGGGCAAAGCUGGAAAACAGUGAUGGAGUUUUCCAUAGCAGCAUCCUAAGAAGACACCCUUAAGUGGGUGAGAACGCAUUUUGAGGACAUCAGCAAACACAGCCUAAGAGGGGCUUAAAUGGUGAUAUCACCUGGGCUUGCUUUCUCAGCUUGCAAGCUUUGAUGAAGCAGCCAUGUUGGGGAGGCCCAUAUGGCAAGAAACCAAAGUCAGUCUCCAGGCAAUAGCCAACAAAGAACUGAGGUCCUCAGUCCAAUAGCCCACAAAGAACUGAAUCCUACCAAUAACCACUUGAGUUUGGAAAUGGAUCCCUUACCAAUUGAGCCUUCAGAUUAGACCCCAGCCUUGGUUGACACCUUCACUGUAGCCUUUUAUGUAAGAUCCUGAAGCAGAUGAUGCAACUAAACUGUGCCUGGACUUCUGAUGCACAGAACCCGUGAGAUAAUAAAUACUGCCAGCUCCAUGACAGCAAGAACCUUGUAUGACUUUUUCAUGAUGGAUGUUCAUCUGUGCCAUCUGUAAAUAUUUAAUAAAUAUUUGUGGAAUACAUGAAUCCAAAAGUGAAUGGAAUGAUAAAGAGGGAAAGGAUCAUGACAUCUACUACAGCAUUUGGCACAGACCCAGGUUUCCCUGGUACUGGUAAUUCCCAGCAGCUUUCUACAAUUCCAAAGGUCAGAAAUAAACUGCCAAAAAAAUUUUACUAAAUCAUGUUCUGGUCUGGGAUACAGCCCUGAAAUGCACUUUGAGCAAGAAAGACUUUGUAGAGGAGAAAAAAGGUGGACCAGUGAGGAUUGGGCUAGAACCAGAGGAAAGUGAACAUUCUUGGUUUAGAUAAAUAUCCACAAUCUUCUAAGGUUUUCAUGUGUACUACAGAGAAGCUCCAGGCUCCUACAUUUCCCUGUGGGUAGUUUUAAAAAGCUGUAGCAAAACAGAGGCUGGUGGUGACUAUGCUUAUCUUUUAGAAGAGCCAUCAUUGCAUUUCUGCAGCACAGAAUAUAUACGUGUUUUUUACUCUUAGUGGUGGAGUUUAUAUGUGAUUCAUGAUGUUUAGUUGUUAAUCAUCCAGUGACACUAAAUACUGCUUAGUUAGCUCAGUAUGCCCUUUAGGAAACCAGAUAUUGCUAAAGUCACUGUUCGACUUAAUGGGGAAAAUUCCACUAACAUCUAAAAUAUGUGAUUUAUAAUUCAAAAAUGUAAAUCCUGUAUUGGUAUUACAUACUAUAAAAGGACAAUUGUCUACAUAAUUACAUAACAUGCAUGUAAGGAUCAAUAUUUAAUUAAGACUAUUGGUGUAUUCUCAUUGGGAGUUAGAGCCCAAUAUUCUCAAUUGGGUGAGAAUUUCAGCCAAAUGGUCUAUCCAUUUUCUUUUCUUUCUUUUUUUUUUUUUUUCUUGAGACAGAUCUUGCUUUGCUGCCCAGGCUGGAGUGCAAUGGUGUGAUUUUGGCUCACUGCAACUUCCGCCUCCUGGGUUCAAGCGAUUCUCCUGUCUCAGACUCCCGAAUAGCUGGGAUUACAGGUGCGCACCACCAUGCCUGGCUAAUUUUUGUAUUUUUAGUAGAGAUGGGGUUUCACCAUGUUGGUCAGGCUGGUGUCAAACUCCUGACCUCAGGUGAUCUGCCUGCCUCGGCCUCCCAAAGUGGUGGGAUUACAGGCGUGAGCCACUGUGCCUGGCCAGUCUAUCCAUUUUCUAUUUCCCCAAAGUAACUUGUGAGAAAUGUCUUAGGCUAGAAUUUGCUUAUAUAUUUUCCAUCUUGCACAUGGUUAAAACGUGCAGUUUCCUAAACUGGUGGUUCUUGAACAUCAGUGUGCAUUAGAAUCACCUGGAGGGCUGGUUAAAACACAGAUUGCCAGGCCGUUCUCAGGGUUUCUGAUUUAGUUAAGUCUGGCGGUUGGACCCGAGAAUCUGCAUUUCUAACCAGUGAUCCCAAGUGAUGCUGAUGCUGCAGGUCUGGGGACCAAUGUCUUGAACUAACAGCUCUGAAUAAAGAUCUAAUUGGAUUCUGAAUGCCACAGAUGCAGUUUGGAGAUUGUUUUUCAAAGCAGAAUAUCCAUUUGUGGAAUAAAACAGUUUAUCAUUGUUAUUACCUGAA